rnacentral:rRNA from 1 species
GUGGGGAAUAUUGGACAAUGGGCGAAAGCCUGAUCCAGCCAUGCCGCGUGUGUGAAGAAGGUCUUCGGAUUGUAAAGCACUUUAAGUUGGGAGGAAGGGCAGUAAGUUAAUACCUUGCUGUUUUGACGUUACCGACAGAAUAAGCACCGGCUAACUUCGUGCCAGCAGCCGCGGUAAUACGAAGGGUGCAAGCGUUAAUCGGAAUUACUGGGAGUAAAGCGCGCGUAGGUGGUUUUGUAAGUUGGAGGUGAAAUCCCCGGGCUCAACCUGGGAACUGCCUCCAGAACUGCAUGACUAGAGUACGGUAGAGGGUAGUGGAAUUUGCUGUGUAGCGGUGAAAUGCGUAGAUAUAGGAAGGAACACCAGUGGCGAAGGCGACUACCUGGACUGAUACUGACACUGAGGUGCGAAAGCGUGGGGAGCAAACAGGAUUAGAAACCCGUGUAGUCC